AGUGAACGCUGGCGGUAGGCCUAACACAUGCAAGUCGAACGGCAGCACAGUAAGAGCUUGCUCUUACGGGUGGCGAGUGGCGGACGGGUGAGGAAUACAUCGGAAUCUACUUUUUCGUGGGGGAUAACGUAGGGAAACUUACGCUAAUACCGCAUACGACCUACGGGUGAAAGCAGGGGAUCUUCGGACCUUGCGCGAUUGAAUGAGCCGAUGUCGGAUUAGCUAGUUGGCGGGGUAAAGGCCCACCAAGGCGACGAUCCGUAGCUGGUCUGAGAGGAUGAUCAGCCACACUGGAACUGAGACACGGUCCAGACUCCUACGGGAGGCAGCAGUGGGGAAUAUUGGACAAUGGGCGCAAGCCUGAUCCAGCCAUACCGCGUGGGUGAAGAAGGCCGUCGGGUUGUAAAGCCCUUUUGUUGAGAAAGAAAAGCAGCAGGUUAAUACCCCGCUGUUCUGACGGUACCCAAAGAAUAAGCACCGGCUAACUUCGUG
rnacentral:rRNA from 1 species